rnacentral:rRNA from 1 species
UGCAAGUCGAGCGAACAGACGCAGGAGCUUGCUCCUUUGACGUUAGCGGCGGACGGGUGAGUAACACGUGGGUAACCUACCUAUAAGACUGGGAUAACUUCGGGAAACCGGAGCUAAUACCGGAUAAUAUUUCGAACCGCAUGGUUCGAUAGUGAAAGAUGGCUCUGCUAUCACUUAUAGAUGGACCUGCGCCGUAUUAGCUAGUUGGUAAGGUAACGGCUUACCAAGGCAACGAUACGUAGCCGACCUGAGAGGGUGAUCGGCCACACUGGAACUGAGACACGGUCCAGACUCCUACGGGAGGCAGCAGUAGGGAAUCUUCCGCAAUGGGCGAAAGCCUGACGGAGCAACGCCGCGUGAGUGAUGAAGGUCUUCGGAUCGUAAAACUCUGUUAUUAGGGAAGAACAAACGUGUAAGUAACUGUGCACGUCUUGACGGUACCUAAUCAGAAAGCCACGGCUAACUACGUGCCAGCAGCCGCGGUAAUACGUAGGUGGCAAGCGUUAUCCGGAAUUAUUGGGCGUAAAGCGCGCGUAGGCGGUUUUUUAAGUCUGAUGUGAAAGCCCACGGCUCAACCGUGGAGGGUCAUUGGAAACUGGAAAACUUGAGUGCAGAAGAGGAGAGUGGAAUUCCAUGUGUAGCGGUGAAAUGCGCAGAGAUAUGGAGGAACACCAGUGGCGAAGGCGACUUUCUGGUCUGUAACUGACGCUGAUGUGCGAAAGCGUGGGGAUCAAACAGGAUUAGAUACCCUGGUAGUCCACGCCGUAAACGAUGAGUGCUAAGUGUUAGGGGGUUUCCGCCCCUUAGUGCUGCAGCUAACGCAUUAAGCACUCCGCCUGGGGAGUACGACCGC